GUAUUUUAUGCUUGCCGCUGGUGUUCAAGGUUGCAGUCAUGUUCAUGUUCCCCCGGUUGCUCCGGUAGGAGUAGUAGUGGGGACGUCGGAUCAUCCAGUGGGUUGUGGAGCAUUGUUGUGCCCAUUCGCUUGUAGCCUUGUGGAUGUUGUCCGCCCGUUCCGCUUUGCUGCUUGGUGGAGAUACUUUUGCUUUGUGGCUCAAUGCUGGUAAGAGUAUCGUUGUCGUAGAUAGGUCAUAUGAGUCUCUGCAUUAUCGGUGCCCCCUGUGAGUUUAUUGCAGUCUAGAUGUCGGUUGGUCGUUAGUUGGUGGCGCGGUCUCACCAGGGGUGGCUGUGAGUGGUUAGCCUUUUUUGCUUGGUUGCUAUAGUAGUGGCUUGUUGCUUGUCAUAAUAGAAGUCAGACCAGCUUGUUCCCGGAGGUCUCUUUGCUUCCCGAGGGAUCGUGGAAAGGGCAUACCCUCCUUCUGUCAGCCGCCAUUUUAGUUGAGGC